GACUCCCUAAGGGACUUUGGAAGCAGGUCCCAGGGCCUUGAGGGCUCAGGCACGGCGGGAACAGGUCGCCGAUGUCCGGCUGGUGCCACCGGAGUCCGGAGGCCCUUCAGAUGGAUCCCGCGGGCCGCGUGCUUGGGGGUGUCGCCUGCACGGGGUCGGGGGCAGAGGCCAGGAAGUGUCUAACGGAUUGCUUCGCUGUCCCCAUAGGCUCACGGGGUCCUGGGCCGGGCUAGCAUCGCCUUGGCCCCGAGCGCAGCGGGACCUCGGGGCAGCCGCGUCCCUGCGCGCGUCUGCAGGUCGUGCCCUGUCCCCUGCGGGUCCCGCCCCCUCCUCAGCGUCGGUUGUAUGUAGUGGCUCCGAGGUAUUUCUGAAAUAGCAAACCUGGUGUACCACAAUCCAGCUGCGUGUUCUCUUACAUUUCAUGGAUUCAUCAGUCCUCCCGGGCGAUCCAGCCUUGAAGGGGAAACCAAGCCUCCAUAAGAGUCACACAAAAGACCGCAUUUUCUUCAGGACACUACUGUGGCCGGCUCCAGAGAGAUUGCAGGUGCUCUGGGAGCUGAGCCCGUGCGGCUGCACCGGCCUCUACCGCUGGCUUUGCCACGGUUUACCUUCCAGCUGCUGCUGCUGUCUGAUGCUGAGGGCGCUGAUUCGGGACACAUCCCCAUCUUCUCUUACUGCGACCAAAGCCACUGGCUCCGUCUCCCACCACUGCUGAAGCGGUUGACAGCAAUGUCUCUAAUGCCUUGCAUUUCCAAUGAUGCAUUCUGUUUUGAUGGAUUGUAUCUAUCAGGAUCCUGGUCAACAAGAGAUGAAAGCCUCAAAAGAGAUACAGGAGAAUAAUGCAAUCACUCUUUACAAAGGUGUGUGGAAGGCAAAAUAAGACCAAUACGAAACAGUAAAAUGUUGACUUUAUCAUCCUUAUGCCCAAAGGAGAACAAGGACAGAGCAGUUCCUGGAAUCUGGGGAGGUACUGCUGUAGGAAAAGCUACUGCCCAGGAAUGCAGCUGUUCUCUAACCACAACCUGGCAGGAGGGGACUAGGGGAAUAUGUACUCUGACUUCAUUCUCGUCCUGCUUUCCAGUUAUGGUUUUCCAAAGGCCAAACCAUAGCAAGUAGCCACAGGACAAGGUUGUCUACUGCUGCAACCUGUAAAUGUCAG
rnacentral:lncRNA from 1 species